rnacentral:rRNA from 1 species
GCGCUUGAGGUUGAGCCCACGUACUAUCAGCUUGUUGGCGAGGUGACGGCUCACCAAGGCUAUGACGGUUAGCUGGUCUGAGAGGAUGGUCAGCCACACUGGGACUGAGACACUGCCCAGACUCCUACGGGAGGCUGCAGUCGAGGAUCAUUCGCAAUGCGCAAAAGCGUGACGGUGCGACGCCGCGUGCAGGAUGAAGGCCUUCGGGUCGUAAACUGCUGUCAUGAGGAAACAAUGUCCGGGAUGUGAAUAUCGUCUCGGGGUGAUAGUACCUCAAGAGGAAGCCACGGCUAACUCUAUGCCAGCAGCCGCGGUAAUACAGAGGCGGCAAGCGUUGUUCGGAUUUACUGGGCGUAAAGGGUGCGUCGGCGGUUCUGUGUGUCGGACGUGAAAUCUCUCAGCUCAACUGUGGAAUUGCAUUUGAAACUACAGGGCUAGAGUACAGGAGAGGAGAGCGGAAUUCUCGUUGUAGCGGUGAAAUGCGUAGAUAUCGAGAGGAACACAGGUGGCGAAGGCGGCUCUCUGGACUGAUACAGACGCU